UACGGGAGGGGCAAGCGUUGUUCGGAAUUACUGGGCGUAAAGGGCUCGUAGGUGGCCAACUAAGUCAGACGUGAAAUCCCUCGGCUUAACCGGGGAACUGCGUCUGAUACUGGAUGGCUUGAGUUUGGGAGAGGGAUGCGGAAUUCCAGGUGUAGCGGUGAAAUGCGUAGAUAUCUGGAGGAACACCGGUGGCGAAGGCGGCAUCCUGGACCAACACUGACACUGAGGAGCGAAAGCCAGGGGAGCAAACGGG
rnacentral:rRNA from 1 species